GUAUAUCUUUAUUGAAACAAAAAAGGUAAAAUUAAAAUCUCCGCCUCUCUCUCUCUGCUCGCCGCUCCGAUUUCCUGCUGCGGAGAUCGUCGUCUCCCUUGUCGCCGGUCUCAUCGGAAUAUCUUCAGUCGAAGAAAUCCAAUCAAUUCACUGAGCCUAAGGUGUAGAGGAGAAGAUCAAAGAUUACAAUCUCUAUCAGCGCUCUUCUACUUCAGAAACCAUGGAGGAUGAGCAUGAUGUCUCACAGCACAAUUAUGAAGAUGAAAUGCAGUUUAAUAGUGAAGAUGACGAUGACGAUAAUCUCAUAAUUCAAAGGACUGACGGAAGCACAAGGGUAAAGAGAGGACUGUUUUGUUCCAAAGAUGUGUGGAACUUGAGAAAUGGUGAUCGGAUUGUUGUCGAAUGUAAUGAGCAUAAUCAGCCAGAUAAUAGAGGUGGUAGGGUUCUAGGUGGUUGGCUGGGUAAAGUUGCUCGAAGACCAAACUUGUGUCUUCUUAACUACCAUACAUGGAUAAAGAUGCCUUUAACUUUCAAGAAGGGUGUGACUGAUUUAGCCAAAGUAAAGAAUUUCUUUAUUAUUUAUUAAAUACUGAAUGUAUUACUCUUUUCAUAUAUUAGUUAUACUAAUAAUAAUUUCUGUCACAUGAUAAAUUUCUUCUUCCUUCUAACAAUGGUAUUGAGAAAUAGAUUUUGAAAUCAACGUCGAAGAAAUGGAGAAGUUAUAAAUCUUAUUUGAAAGGUAAAUAUGUGAUUGAUGGAAUGACGGAGCAGGAGAUUGCAAGACAACCGCUAGAAGAAAUUCCGUUGCAGCAAUGGAUUCAUUUAGUUCAUUACUGGUUUUCUAAUAAAGGGAAGAUUGGUUAGGAAAUAGGAAAGAGAGCACGUGCGCAGCAAGUGGCGCCUCACACUUCGGGAUCCGAAAGUUUUGCAAGGAAGAAGCGUAAAUUUAAAUAUAAAAGGAAUCCAGCUCCACUCGAGUGGUACUCGAUAAUCCACAAACAUAAGGAUGGGGCUUUUGUUAACCAAGCUUCCGAACAACUUGUGGUACGUUCAGUUAAUGUUUCUUUCUUGGAAUAAAGAUGAAGAAUAAGCGAUAAUAGAUCUGUGGGAAAAUUCAUCACAUAAUGUCCUUAGCCGUUCUUUUUGUUCUAAUUAAAUGUAUCUCGUCCAGCAUGAGAAAUUCAGCGUGCUCAACACAAUCAUCAAAAAUAGUCUGGAACAAAAGAAUAACAGUACUAAUCUUGAAUAAAAGUUUGUUUUUUACUCUAUGCAAGUUACAACAACAAUUUUUUUGUAAGUUCAGGUUCUAGAGUUUGAAGUGUUGUUUUGGUUAAUUUUUUGCUGAUUUUUGUUUCGUGGCUAUCUUGAACUAUGUUGUUGUAUAAGUUCAAGUUUUGGUGAAAGGACGAGCUCGUGGGUAAGAAAGUUCAACUUAUUUCUUAUGUUAUAAGGCAUACUUAUAUGUUAGUACCAAAUAUAUUUAUGAAAAUUGUUCUUUUUUAACAGGGGCCUUUAUAAAGAAGAAGUAUCAAUGACUAAGAAUGACAGGAGCAGUUUAGAUGUGUAUUUGUAAUCUUCAUUUGCAAAUUGUAACCAAGUUAAUUAGCCUGUAUAGUUGUCUUUGUCAAUUCCCACAAAUAUGAAGUCAGAUUCGUUUUUCUUCAAUGACUCAUUACAGAUUUCUAUUGAAUUACUUUUGAGAUACCAA